UGGGGGAUAUUGCACAAUGGGCGAAAGCCUGAUGCAGCGACGCCGCGCGGGGGAUGAAGGCUUUCGGGUUGUAAACCUCUUUCGCUAUCGAACAAGGCCCGCUUAGGGUGGGUUGAGGGUAGGUGGAGAAGAAGCGCCGGCUAACUACGUGCCAGCAGCCGCGGUAAUACGUAGGGCGCGAGCGUUGUCCGGAAUUAUUGGGCGUAAAGGGCUUGUAGGCGGCUUGUUGCGCCUGCUGUGAAAACGCGGGGCUUAACUUCGCGCGUGCAGUGGGUACGGGCAGGCUUGAGUGUGGUAGGGGUGACUGGAAUUCCAGGUGUAGCGGGGGAAUGCGCAGAUAUCUGGAGGAACACCGAUGGAGAAGGCAGGGCGCUGGGCCAUUACUGACGCUGAGGGGCGAAAGAAUGGGUAGCGAACAGG
rnacentral:rRNA from 1 species